AAGCAACGGCCUCAUCUCUCUUUGAAGGUGAUGUGAUGGAUGCCAUUUGGAAUUCGCCAGUGGUGGAAGUGUCACGAGGUGUGUGCCUUGAUAAUGUGGCUGUGAAGUUGCAGAAGGUGUACCGGAGUUAUCGCACACGGCGCAGGUUAGCUGACUCCGCGGUCAUGGCGGAAGAGCUCUGGUGGCAAGCGAUAGACUUUGUGAGAUUGAACCACAGUACAAUUUCAUUCUUCAAUUUCUCUAAACAACAUGCAGCUUCUAGGUGGAUUCGUACUACUUUGAAUGCUUCCAAGGUGGGCAAGGG
rnacentral:misc_RNA from 1 species